CCGAGGGCGCCCCUUCAGCCCUACGUUUACUUCAACCUGAUUUUUAGAUUGAAUUGAUGGUUAUUGUCGAUAGGGGGGGCGGUUGCGUUAAGUUACGUUACGUUAGUUAUGUGAGGGCUCCUGCACAUUGCCAGGGUGGGGUGAGCCGUGAGCGUGUCAGCUACGUGACAUUCGCAAAAAUGAAGCGGUCAAUACCAUCUGGAGCACAGGGACGAAAACGAAGAAAGGAAGAAGAGGAAAAGAAAGCCAAGUAUAGAGAUGCACUCAGGCAAUUUUUGCAGAGGCCGCUGUAGAAAGGACGCCUGAUUCGCCUCCCUCUGAACUUUCUGCAGGAGAAGGGACAUCCAGUAGUACUCAAGGGGCCAGUAACACACAGGCCAGGAACACACAGCCUGCCUCAGGUGAAGGUGAAGGGACAUCCAGGACCACAUCAAGCACUCUGGGCACCAGUGAAACUACACUGCCACCUGCAGACACCUCACCCUCCACAAUUCCUGCUAUCCAGGGAGAACCUAUAGGGAGAACCUAUAGAUCCUGCUGACUGGCCAGCUGUGAUCCGGUAAGGACAGAGUUAGUUUGCAGAGGACCAUACCAGACCAGUCCAGACUUUACAUUUCCAAAAAGAGAUGAAGGGAGAAGCUGCCACCACAACCACUUCUACAGGAAAUUAGUAAAUGGGGAGAAAAUCAAGAGAAGCUGGCUUGUAUAUUCAAGGAAAAACAAUACUCUGUAUUGCUUCUGCUGCAAGCUCUUUUCACAGAAAAUGACCACCUCAUUAGGAUUGGCCUAAAUGACUGGAAGAAUUGUAGUGAGGUAUUUGAGAUAUUUUGUA
ensembl:lncRNA